rnacentral:rRNA from 1 species
ACUCCUACGGAGGCAGGCAGCAGUAGGGAAUCUUCGGCAAUGGACGAAAGUCUGACCGAGCAACGCCGCGUGAGCGAUGAAGGCCUUCGGGUCGUAAAGCUCUGUUGUCAGAGAAGAACAAGUACCGGAGUAACUGCCGGUACCUUGACGGUACCUGACCAGAAAGCCACGGCUAACUACGUGCCAGCAGCCGCGGUAAU